GGACACUGGUGGCCACCUGCCAGCUCUGCGGACAGCUGCUCUUCAGCCCCAGCAAACUGCAGCCGAGAGGAAGUGGGGCCUGUGGUGACAGAUCUUAGGAUUUUUAAGGACACUGGCAUUCUGGGCUUCUGUGUAAAGUAUCCCUAUUUGUAGGUAUUAGAAGUCAAUUACAAAUUUUUAAUUAUGCAAGUGACCCUGUGGGAAGCAGGAGAGGGGGGAGGAAGAUCUGAAGCCUAGCAGGUGCAGAAAUGUUCUGCAUUUGACAUGGGAUGGUUACAGACUCCCUGGGCAACUAAACAGGCUGGUAGCAAUAAGAAGGCUAUUGCAAUAGUCCAAGUAAGACAGCAGGUGUUACGCCACAGUUCCAACAGAGAGGCGAAACAGGUGGAAGAAUCAGGUAUGCAUUCCGAAC
rnacentral:lncRNA from 1 species